CUAAUUCUUUUUCUUCUUCCUCUGAUAAACCAACCAGAGAAAAAUUCCUAACCAAGGUCACACCUCUUGGUCACCGCUUGGAAUGAUUGGCUUCUUAUUAGGUGUCCUCUGAGGAAGAAACCACGCCACUCUCUUCACCACCUCAUCCCAUUUCUUCCUCUCCUAUUUAUAUGUCCAUUACUUCUUCUGGGUCUUCUUUUUCUGUGCAAAAAAUGGAAUUGGGAACGAGAGAGCAGGAGAACGACAGAGGGAGUAGGAGUGACACCAAAAGAAGGUUAAGGAGGAGUCUUUCCAAUUCUUCUUGUUCUCCAUCAAUCAGAGCAGCAAGAGGAGCAGAGUGAUGGCGUGAGAUGGGGCUGACCGAAGCUGAAGGGGCUGGCCAAAGUUUGAAGUAAAGCUGACCAAGGGAGGAAGAGAAAGUUAGGACUGAUUUCAUGAGAAAGGGUGAACUCCAUUGAGAUGGAAGAUCCAGACUUGAUCGCCACCACAGGAGUUAUAUUCAGAGAGGUACCAGAGGAACACGUGUCGUCGGACCCUACAGGAGAUGCUCGAAACUAGUCUUGAGUUGAUGGUUGCAAAGUUGUGCCUCGACGGUAGAAAGAAUGUACGAUAGAUGGUAUUCAUUUCUUAGAUUUUGCUUUCCCUCUCUUCUAUAGCAUUUUUUAGGGAUA